ensembl:lncRNA
CAGAGGUGGAGCCAGUGCAGAUGCUGGAGCCCAAGGGGAGAAGGGAAGAGUGGCCAGAGAAAAACGCCAGCAUUGGCAUGACACCUGGGCCAACCGCAGAGGCUGCUGACAGGCGAUGGAGUCUCAUCAGUAUCCCGUGGAGGGAGAACUGGCGCCCGCUGGGACGUAAAGCAAUGGAAGUUCAGAGAAGCCGUGUGAAGCUCCCAGGGCCUCGGGAGUGCUGUAACUGGCACCCUGGUCUUUCAGCCUCUGCAGGUGACACCGCAGCCUUCUCUCCUUUGAAAACCACAAACAGCUCUCUGAGCUCACAGCACCAUGCAGGCACUCCAGAAGCAUGUGGGGAAAGGUGGAGGGAGGAAGGGAAGGGGCAGGGUUGGAAGUCUGAGGAAUUCUUGCCUAAUGCCUUCAGACCCCACCCCCAACCAACUUAGAGUUGUCUGCGCGACGCCCUCCGGAAACGCUUCCCCCCCCAGAGAAAAGUGACCUGUCACCUGUCUGACUCCUCACAGGGCUGCGGCUGGUGAGGGCCCAGCCUGAGUCUGGGUCAUGGUGGUAUCUCCAGGCCCUAGUACAGUGCCUGGCACUCAUUCAAUAUUUGUGAAUAAAUUUCUUCUGUUGCUGGCCUGGAUUUCCUGCCCAAGCUUUCCUGUUGGUCAACGGGUCUAAAGAAAGGAGCCGGAUCUUUCGUCAGCUGGGAAGGUCCUGCAAGGUUGUUGGGCACAUGCUGAUGGAUGACCAGUGAGAGGUCCGUGUGCCAGCUCUGAGCCCAGCCUCCCACACCCCCUCACUGCUGGGGGAACUCAGAAGGCUGGGAUGGCCCAUCCGCCCUGCUCUUCUCCAUGGGACCUGACGCUGGUGAGCUGAGCACAGGGCCCCCGCGUCACAUGAGGAAGCCUAAGGGUUGCUGAGUAGACAAAGGUGCGUGCGUGAGCCAUCGUGUGUGCCGUGUGUGCCGGUGGCUUGAGUCGGGCCCACCUGGCUGAUAGCUGGUCGACAAGUCACAUGAGAACCAGAACAAUGCUCCGUCAGGUUGAGCAACUAGCUUCCCUUCCUCGCCUCCGGCAAGAGCUGGGCCAGGGAAAGUGAAGCAACCUGCUGGGGCCUCCGCGGGGUGGGCGUGGGCGGGGACCUGCCGGGAACCGGCGGCUGGACCAGUUUCCAUUGCUCCCGGACCGGAUGCAACCCCGUGACUCGUGACUCGGGCGGAGGCAGGAGAAACGCACGCCCUGGGCGCAUCUCUGUGUCCUCCAGGGCGACACUGGCUUUGGCAAUGAUACGACUGGGGGCUCUAGGUCAGCGGUCACCGGGCGUGCGACUUCCGGCUGCUCCAUCAGGCGAGCGGGCGGGGCAGCAGCGAAUCAGCUGACAGGUUCUGGAGAAGCUUCCAGCCGGCUGCUCUGUUGUUCUCUGAAUGCAGACCGUGGUGGAGCCCUGUCUUGGCCCGCAGCCGUUAGGAUAUUUCUCAGGGAAAGCCCUUGGACCAAGAAGUCUGUUUUUUCUUUGGAAACUAUGAGACUCUCUGCAAAAACAAAGGAAUUUGGAUUCUGUUCAGGAAAAAUGUAACCUACAAACAAAUAGCCUUGGAAAAUCUGUGCCUCCCCCUCGGUGCCUGGGUCAGGCACAGGGACAGCCCCACCCCCGGGCUGCUUUCGAGCUGGAGGCCACCUCCUUUUUCCUCUUCUGUGUGUUGUCUCUGGCUGCCCAGAGGGCAGUGCCUCCUCUCCAUGCCUUCCCCUGCCCUGCCGCCCAGGGCCCCUGUCUCUGCAGUGCCCUUGAUCUGGUUGGAAUGCUCUUCCCUUCCCUGGCUGCAACCCUUCCUCAUUCUUUAAGACCCAGUUCCAAUGUCUCCCCUCCGGUUCUGAGUUCCCCAGGUGGCUAGUUGCUCUGCUAUUAUGUUGCUCUGAAUAAUUUCAAAUUUAAAUAUACUUCCCUUUUCUUUCAGAUAGCAAUCCCUGAUUUUAUUCUUUUAAGAAAUAUGGUAAUAAUACUGACUGCCACUCUUAAACUCCUGCUAUGUGCCAAGCGGGGUUGUACAUUAUGGUACCCACUGCAUGCGCAAAGUGAUUAGGAAAAAACUGGCACAUAGUGAGGAGUCAGUAAAAGUUACUUCUUAUUAUCCUUAUUUUAUCUUAAUUCUCGCAUAGCACUUGCAGCAAGUAAGAUUUGUCAUGCACAUUAUGAUGAUCGGGUUCCUCGUCUGUGAGCUCCUUGACGGUGGGGACUGUGUCUUCUUGCUUGUCCAAGUCUGUGGACGUGCAAAGGGUGUUUGGUGAGUGAACAUUUAGCCAUUGAAACUGAUGACUGAGUGCCGAGAUUUACUUCGUGAGUUUCCAAAUCAACUGAGAGUGGCUUUGGCCUUAAGAAUAGAUAUGGGGACUCAGAAGAUCUGGGCUUAAUUCUAUUCCAGCUACCUGCUAGCUUUGUGACCUUGGGUACAUCAGCCAAUCUUUUCUGAACCCAAAAACCUAUUUUUCAAAAUGGGUGUCAUAGUCCCUAACUUGCCUUCCUCACAGGUUUUCCUUGAGCGUCAGAUGAGCUCACACAUAGGAGAGUUUUGUGAAUUGUAAAGUAUUUUACACACGUGAGACAUUAUUGUUGGAAUCAUUUUGGACCCAGUGCCAUCACCACCAAACGUGGCAGAAUAUGAGCCCUCGGGUAGCUCUAGCUGGACAAAUAGCAAUGUGCUGCUUUUGGUUUUCACAGUGUUUAAAAAUGUAGUCCCGUAAUGUUUGUAACCGGUGUUUCUUCUCCUCAAAGCAUGCAUCCAAGGUAUUAGUCUCAGUCCUUUUAAAGGUUUUAAAAAGGGCCUUGAUUUUCCUGCUUGGCUGCUGUAAAAUCUAUAACCCUGAAUGUCACGGUGACGUUCUCUCUCAGGAAACGUCCGCAAGAAUUGUAACUGAACAAAAACAGUAUUUAUUUUCCUUUUUAAUUCAAGAAGCUAAAUGCUAGGGAGUAGAAGGAGAGAUGAGAAGAAGUGUGUAAGAGAUGGGCUUGCUCUCAGGGAGCUCACAGGCUGGUUUGGGAGCCGGAUCUGGGUCCUAGGCUUGUGGGCAAAGGACGUGAUCUGAGGAAGGAGAGAUCCGCUGCGUUGAGGUGGUCUGUGAAGGUUGCAGGGAGAAAGCGGGCCUGUGUUAAGCUUAAAGGAAGACCAUUGUUUGGACCACGACCCUGGGAGCAUAAUUCAUAAGCCAGGGCCCGGCCGCUGACUACUGCUGCUCUCACUUCCCCUUUCAGCAGGAUUGUGAUGUCUUUAGUUCUUGGGGGCUCAGGAGGAAGACAUGAGGAUGUUCUAGACAUGCACUCACGGACAAACGUCUGAAUCCAAAAAACUAAUAUUUUGUGACUGAUGCUUUCAUGAUGAGGAAAUAAAAACUCCUUACUUUUUUUUAAAAAAAUGUUUUGGCCGUGAUGUACUUGGCUUAAAACAUGUCAGAAAGAAAGCCAUUUAUAGAGAAUCGUAAUACUCUAACUUCAGCAUAACGCUAACAACAAAGGUGCCCCUGGAUCGCUAAGGUUAACACACACUGCUGAGAAUAUGGGAUGGCAGUAACAAGAACCCAAAGAAGGAAAUAUUAAAAAUACACAAUUAGGAACUAUUUAGGAAAGAAAGUGAGAACACCAGGUCUGGAAAUGUAUACAACACAGCCAAAGCCGUAGUCAGAGGUAAAUUCAAAGCAUUAAUGCUAUCACUUAAGAAUAAGAAUAAAUGAAAAGAAAGCAACUACACGUCUAACUUAAGAAUUUAGAAAAUGGGGGCCGGCCCGGUGUCGCAGCGGUUAAGUUCACACGUUCUGAUUCUCGGUGGCCCGGGGUUCACUGGUUCGGAUCCUGGAUGCGGACAUGGCGCCGCUUGGCACGCCAUGCUGAGGUAGGCGUCCCACGUAUAAAGUAGAAGGAGAUGGGCAUGAUGUUAGCUCAGGGCCAGGCUUCCUCAGCAAAAAAGAGGAGGACUGCCAGUAGUUAGCUCAGGGCUAAUCUUCCUCAAAGAAAUAAAUAAAUAAAAGAAUUUAGAAAAUGGGCAGCAAAACAAGACCAAGAAAAGCAAGACAAUAAAAAAUACAAGGAUGAUAAGUGAAUUAGAAAAUCAACAAAGUAGGAGAAUUCGUAAAUAAAUCCAUAAGAUGGUUCUUUGGAGGGCAACUUAAAAUAGGAAAACCUCUAGAAAAUCUGCUUAAGAGAAAAAAAUCAAAUAACUGAUAUCUGAAAAAUUUAUACUGUUUGUAAAGCAUGUCCCCAUUCCGUAUCACUCUUGGUCGCUAAGCUAAUCCUGUCUGUUAUAUAUUUGUAUCCCUAUUUUGCUAGUGAUCAAACUGAGAAUCAAACAAAUGAGGUUACUUUUUAGGGUCAUACAACUAGUGAGUAGUUAAAGCCAUGAUUUGAAGCAGGUCUGCUAACCUUGUUGAAUAUUCUUCCAAUCAUCCCAUGGCAUCCUCUCAGGAUGAAUUCAAGAAAGGAAGAGUGGAACAUUUAGCAUGUCUCCGUUGGUCUCCUGGGACCGCCGUAACACAUCACCACGCAUUCCUGCUGGCUUGGAGCAAUAGGAAUUUCUUCUGUCACAGUUCUGGAGCCUAGAAGUCCAAAACCAAGUUUUGAGCAGGGCCACGCUCCCUCUGAAGGCUCUCGGGGAGAGUCCUCGCUGUCUCUCCCAGCCUCUGGAGGUGGCCGUAGUCCUUGGUGUCCUCGACUUGCAGCUCUAGCAUCUAACUUCUGCCCCCAUCUUCCCAGGGUUUUCUCCCUCUGUGUCUUGACUUUGUCUCCAUCUGUGCAUAUGUCUCCUCUGUUUUCCCUUCUUGUAAGGAGUUAGUUUUCCAAAUCUACAAUUUUCCUUUCAGUAUAACCUCAUCUUAAUUGUGUCUGCUAUGACCCUAUUUCCAAAUAAAGUUACAUUCUGAGAUUCUGUGUUGACAUGAAUUCUUUUGGGGGAAAC